ACCUACGGGGCGCAGCAGUGGGGAAUAUUGCGCAAUGGGGGCAACCCUGACGCAGCAACGCCGCGUGAUUGAAGAAGGCCUUCGGGUUGUAAAGAUCUUUAAUCGGGGACGAAUUUUGACGGUACCCGAAGAAUAAGCUCCGGCUAACUACGUGCCAGCAGCCGCGGUAAUACGUAGGGAGCAAGCGUUAUCCGGAUUUACUGGGUGUAAAGGGUGCGUAGGCGGCCUGCUAAGUCUGGAGUGAAAGGUACCGGCUCAACCGGUACAGGCUCUGGAAACUGGCGGGC
rnacentral:rRNA from 1 species